GGGGUUGUGGCUCAGUGGUAGAGCACUUGUCUAGCAUGUGUGAGGCACUGGGUUCAAGUCUCAGCACCA
rnacentral:tRNA from 1 species